rnacentral:rRNA from 1 species
AUGAACGUUGGCGGCGUGCCUCAUACCUGCCAGUCGAGCGAACAGACGAGGAGCUUGCUCCUCUGACGUUAGCGGCGGACGGGUGAGUAACACGUGGAUAACCUACCUAUAAGACUGGGAUAACUUCGGGAAACCGGAGCUAAUACCGGAUAAUAUAUUGAACCGCAUGGUUCAAUAGUGAAAGACGGUUUUGCUGUCACUUAUAGAUGGAUCCGCGCCGCAUUAGCUAGUUGGUAAGGUAACGGCUUACCAAGGCAACGAUGCGUAGCCGACCUGAGAGGGUGAUCGGCCACACUGGAACUGAGACACGGUCCAGACUCCUACGGGAGGCAGCAGUAGGGAAUCUUCCGCAAUGGGCGAAAGCCUGACGGAGCAACGCCGCGUGAGUGAUGAAGGUCUUCGGAUCGUAAAACUCUGUUAUUAGGGAAGAACAAAUGUGUAAGUAACUAUGCACGUCUUGACGGUACCUAAUCAGAAAGCCACGGCUAACUACGUG